rnacentral:rRNA from 1 species
GAUGAACGCUGGCGGCGUGCCUAAUACAUGCAAGUCGAGCGAUCGGACGAGAAGCUUGCUCCUCUGAUGUUAGCGGCGGAAGGGAGAGUAACAAGUGGACAACCUCCCUAUAAGAAUGGGAUAAAAUCGGGAAACCGGAGCUAAUACCGGAUAAUAUUUUGAACCGGAGGGUUCAAGAGUGUAAGACGGUCUUGCUGUCACUUAUAGAUGGAUCCGCGCUACAUUAGCUAGUUGGUAAGGUAACGGCUUACCAAGGCGACGAUGUGUAGCCGACCUGAGAGGGUGAUCAGCCACACUGGGACUGAGACACGGUCCAGACUCCUACGGGAGGCAGCAGUAGGGAAUCUUCCACAAUGGGCGAAAGCCUGACGGAGCAACGCCGCGUGAAGGAUGAAGGUCUUCGGAUCGUAAACUGCUGUUAUUAGGAAAGAACAGAUGUGUAUGUAACUGGGAGCAUCAUGACGGUACCGAAACAAAAAGCCACGGCUAACUACGUG